rnacentral:misc_RNA from 1 species
GAAAUGCGAUAAGUAAUGUGAAUUGCAGAAUUCCGUGAAUCAUUAAAUCUUUGAACGCACAUUGCGCCCUCUGGUAUUCCUAAGGGCAUGCCUGUUUGAGAAUCAGUUUAAUCAUCAAAUCUAUAGGGUAAAAACUAUAGGCUUGGAUCUGGGACUUGUCGAUAGACUGUCUCUAAUAACAUUUGUUGCGACUCUAUAGCGAGACUAUACGAAAAGCAUGACCAUUGAACGCAAGUUCUUAUGAUUGCCUGUAGUAUCUUUAAGCUAUUGACUAGUACAGAAUAAACACGAAGACUAACCAUCUUUAAGACUUGAUCUCAAAUCAGACAAGACUACCCGCUGAACUUAA